GCAGAGGUCAAGCUAUUCUUUGAAUCACUAUGUGGAGAGGUUCAGCGUCUUAGGCUACUUGGAGAUUAUCAUCAUUCCACACGUAUAGCCUUUGUUGAGUUUACAAUGGCUGAGAGUGCAAUUGCUGCGCUUAAUUGCAGUGGAGUGGUGUUGGGUUCCCUGCCAAUAAGGGUGAGCCCGUCAAAGACUCCAGUUCGUCCUCGCUCUCCUCGUGCCCAGCUGAACUGAAUGCUCCCUGCAUCCAUCCCAUGUUGGUCUGGUGCUCGAUAGAUAUAUUUAUAUAUAUUGCAUAUAUAUAUAUUAUGGUUAUAGAGAUAUGUUCAGAAGGGAUUGUGGGCUUUGGUGAUGCAUGGAUCCUCUGCAGUGGAGUUGAGUGGAUGGCAUUUUGAGGCUGUUAGUCGUUUAUCUCUGAUGAUGUUAUGGUGGAUGCACCGGUGGAUUCUGUAGGGUUGGUCCCUGGGAACACUUGAAACUUUCUUUCAAUGUUUCUAACUGGAAACUGUUAAUCAACUCUCCGCUCUUUAGUCCCUUCCUUGAGUCUUGC
rnacentral:misc_RNA from 1 species